rnacentral:rRNA from 1 species
GCAAGUCGAACGAACUCUUCGUAAUGAGUGUCGUACGUGUGAGUAACGCGUGAGAAUCUGCCUCCGGGUUCGGGACAACAGUUGGAAACGACUGCUAAUACCGGAUGUGCCUAAGGGUAAAAGAUUAAUUGCCUGGAGAUGAGCUCGCGUUGGAUUAGCUUGUUGGUGAGGUAAGAGCUCACCAAGGCGACGAUCUAUAGCUGGUCUGAGAGGACGAUC